rnacentral:rRNA from 1 species
UACGUAGGGUGCAAGCGUUGUCCGGAAUUAUUGGGCGUAAAGAGCUCGUAGGCGGUUUGUCGCGUCGAAUGUGAAAACCCGGGGCUCAACCCCGGGCCUGCAUUCGAUACGGGCAGACUAGAGUUCGGUAGGGGAGUCUGGAAUUCCUGGUGUAGCGGUGAAAUGCGUAGAUAUCAAGAGGAACACCGGAGGUGAAGACGGGUUGCUGGGCUGACACUGACGCUGAGGCGCGAAAGCUAGGGUAGCAAACGGG